GAGAGAGAGAAGGAGAGAGAGGUCUCUUUAUUCAAAGCACUGCUAACCACUUCUGAUUGGGGUUUCCAGUGAAGGGCGAGGCUCGUAGUUGUUUAAAGGUAGGAUUGUUUCCUGAAGCCUCCAGCACUUGUUUAUAGUGCAAAUUCCUAAUACUGCCAUCAUUCUUAAAUACCCAUCGCUGCGCAGAUGAUGAAUAGCUACAAGAGUCCAGAUUUACAUUGUCUCCUGUUUGUUGGGCAGAAGGAACAUAAGAGAGGCAGCUUUCUAUAUUCCGAUCAGGCCUUACUGUACUAUCUGCAUAAAGAGCCCAUUGUUGAUCACACCGGGAAUCUAACUGCACGCUUUCAUUCUCUACUCGCAAGCAAAGAUCAGAAGCCCCAAAAAUGUAUGUCAGAUAUGGCCGAGGGUUAUUAGUGGGAAGCCAAGCUUGACUAGCAGCAUGAAUGUUCAAAUCCACUGCAAGUGCGGUACCGCCGUACCUUGAUGUUGCUGUUAAAACUAGUCCAGACUUGGGAUUUUCGAUGCUUCUAUCGUCAAGUAGUUGCCAAUGGGCAGCCUCUGUGUCAUUAUAACUGUUGCAAUCAUAUAUCAUCACAGGCUUUGUUGGUAAAUAUUCAGAAACGGUCAAGCACUUGUCCUUAGAACGAAUCGUUCCAUCACUUCUCAAGGUCCAAAUUUGAUUCGGUUUUGUAUUCAUAUGGCAUGGCCAUAACUGUACUGGGUUUCCAUCGCUGUAGUCUCCGUUUCUCACCUCAACGCAUUGGCCAUCUCUACCGGCAAUAUGCACGGUGGCCUCAGGAUCAUGUGAACAAACUUCGUCACCAGCAAUAUCAUUUGGCAAGACUACUGCGUCAAGUUUUCUUGGUGAUGAUGAUGGAUCUUUGCAUACGUAAAGGAGGAGAGCUAAGUUGCUAACUAAUGGAGCGGUCACCCUGGUUACGUUAAUUAUGCUGAGAUUUUCUCUUUGUAGUUGAAUUAUACCGUUGUUGCUGAACUCCCCAGCAUCAUUAGAUUGCUGGACUGCCGCGGACAGGGCCUCCCAGUUAUUCUCAAGGCUAAGCAUCCUAGCAUCUGGCUGAUCACUUUUAUUGUGAUAAAUUCUCCACCGCACUCCUAACUGGACAAGCUUGAUUCUGGUUGCUUCUGAAAUCAUUUCGAUACAAACUACAAGGGAAGUUGCUUGUUGAGACCGGGAAGUUGUCCCAGAACUAUCAUAUAGAUAUGAGAUAGCAGUCUCAAGUGGAAUCAUUCCCAAGCCAAUUCUAUUUCUGUGUUGAUCUGCA
rnacentral:misc_RNA from 1 species